UUUAAAUUAAAUUAAAUUAAAUUAACUGCCAAGCGUUCACUAGUGCAUACUAAAAAGGAAAUCUAAUGUAAAAUUAAAUAACAUACUAGAAAAUUGAAUCUAAAACUGGAAUAUUUUAAAACCUCACAAACAAUGCAAUUCUUUAUUCCUCUUUUCCUCUCAAGUUAUUUUGUAUCAUGUUAUAUUUUACAUAAUUAUUCGUAUCAUCAAUUUUUUUAAAAAAAAUUAAUAUUUUGAUAUCACGUUCAUAUUAUGCUUUAAUUCACAAUGUAUUUUGUACAAUAUGUUUGUAAUACCCAAUUUUGUCCGGCCCAUUAAAACCCAAUUUGAAAUAAAACUAAGUCGGAGUCCAUAUUACAGCCCAAAUUCGGCCUAAUAAGGCCCAAAUUGCUAGCCCUAGCCUGUUAGCCCAAAAGAACACAGGGUAUAGCAGAUUGAAGCAAAUCGGUGCCGCAGCAACUGCCCACGACAUGGCAACGGUUUCCACCCACGUUCAGCAAUUCCCCACACCCACCAUGCACGUUCUUCACCUGCAACAAACCAUAAACAGCAUUAUAGGAUCGAAUAUACAGCAAAAAAAAGGGGGGAAAUUUUAGUUGGUGCUUUCCGGUAAAUAUCGGCUAUAAAAGUCAAUCGAUUUUUGUAAGAAGGGGGUUACACACAUAUAUUGAAAAAUACUGAAAUACGAAAGAAAAGAAUUAGAAAAAAACAAAUUUUGGAAGGUGAUUUUUGUUCUUUCCACGUCUUUUUACUUUUUUCUGUUUUUUUGUCUCAUCUUUUUCUUUUGUAUUUUACUUCAUUUUUUUUAAAAUAAAACGAAAAGUAAAAGAAAGGGAGGAGAUUCUUACCAGCAGAGGCGCGCCGUCAGCAUAGUUUUCUUCGCUUUGUCCAAAUCGAAGUUAAAAGGGGAGGGGGUUUUGGCGUGAAGAGUUGGGAAGAAGAUGAAACAGUUUUUAAAGCUAUUGCUGCUGCAGAAUAGCGUUUAAAUUUGAGAUUGAAAAGGGUUUUAAGUACUGAUGGGUUAUUUACGCUUUUAAUCCUUCCAUUUUAUCCCACCAUUUCAAAAUUAUUGUUGUU
rnacentral:lncRNA from 1 species